rnacentral:rRNA from 1 species
CGUGUAGGCGGCUUUGCAAGUCGGGUGUGAAAGCCCUCAGCUCAACUGAGGAAGGGCGCCCGAAACUGCAGAGCUUGAGUACCGGAGAGGGUGGCGGAAUUCCCCAAGUAGAGGUGAAAUUCGUAGAUAUGGGGAGGAACACCGGUGGCGAAGGCGGCCACCUGGACGGUCACUGACGCUGAGACGCGAAAGCGUGGGUAGCAAACA